rnacentral:lncRNA from 1 species
AUGUUCCCGUUGUCAUUCACCGUUCUAAGUAAUUUGUUUUUUAUUGCUUUAAGAAAAAUCCUUCUCCUAUGCCUAAGGGAGAAGUGAACAUUGUUUAGCAUUUUUAUUAUUAUCAUCAAUAAAAUACAAUUUUAUUCAUCCACAUCUAUGAUGUUUCAUUUUACCUUUUUGCUUUUUUCUGAAAAUGGUAAUCACAAAAAAAACAUAACUGAAUAAUAAUCUUUCCAUCUGCAUAAUAU